GUGCUCGCUUAGGCAGCACAUAUACUAAAACUGGGAUGAUGUCGAGAAGAUUAGCAUGGCCCCUGUGCAAGGAUGACAUGCAAAUUCAUGAAGCAUUCCAUAUUUUU
ensembl:snRNA U6 U6 spliceosomal RNA